UGUCUCUUAAAAUUCAAUUGGAUGACGAUUUUUGAGAUUAAGGACGUGCUUGGGGAUGUAGACAAGAAUAAAGUUGAAAUACUCCCAUUGAUUGGGACCCUUCAGACCUAGAAAAAAUGAGCAGUAUUGGAAAAAGUAAUGUAUUGUAUUUUGUUGCUGGAUGAAUCGUAUUCUCUCUCAAUAAGAAAACGAAGUGCUCAUCAUACAGAUCUCUUCAGGUUGGCAAUUAUUCUCCAUUUAACACAAGCAUAAGGUUGGUAGCUGAAUCCGAAGAGUAACAAGUUAACUUAGCUAAGUUGAUAAAAAUUAUGAAUAGAGGAGGGCUCUCAACUCCAACCGAUAUUCUAUUUCUUACUUUUCUUUACACUCAUUCUUUAUUAGGCUAAAUUAUUAUUACUUCUUUACACCUCGUGUUAUGUAUUUGUCUAAGUGAUAUUACACUAUUCGUAUUAUAGGGGUUACCUGUGCAUGUGCACAUGACAUUAUGUUCCUUUCCCUUUUAUUAUUAUUCCUCUUGGGUCUUCCUUCGUAUUGUUAUAACGUGCUAAUAAAGAAUAAUAACGAUCAUUAUGGUCUAUCUCUUCUAAUCAUUUCGAUCCCUCGUUCCUCUGUGCCGUGCGUACAUACUAUAGUUGUAAUCCACAACACCUCGAAUCCAAGAGCUUCUUUUGUAAUUACGUUUCGGGAAAAAUGAUGGAUAGUUCUGAUUCAGCUAUUGAAGCUAUGAAUCCCAUUGAUUGCGGACAAGGUCACAAAUGGAGUACUUUCCACGACGAGACAAUGUGAUGGGCAAUAAUUUGGUGAGGCAACUAAAUGAUGGGUUCCGUAAAGGGAGCAGAAAAAGGACUUCAAAUUAGAAUAUGUUAUGUAUUGCCUUUUAUAUACUUUUAGCUCAUGACUUAGGGAUUUGUUUUAAAUAGAUACUAAUGUACCUUUUGUUUUACGUGUUGAUAUAUUUUAAUAGUUAUGUCUAUGUACAUCCUUUUAAGUGUAAUCCCUUAUAGAAUAUAUAUUUAGUGUAUGAUUGU
rnacentral:lncRNA from 1 species